rnacentral:pre_miRNA from 1 species
AUAAUACUCUCUCCGUCCAAUAAAAAAAAUGUUUUAACUUUGUCGAAAUUUGGAUGUAUCUGGACAUGACUUAAUGUAUAGAUGCAUUUAAAUUUAGUCAAAAUUGAGACAUCUUUUGUUGGACAGAAGGAGUACAAA